UACAGAGGGGGCUAGCGUUGUUCGGAAUUACUGGGCGUAAAGGGCGCGUAGGCGGCCGUUUGCGUCGGAUGUGAAAGCCCGGGGCUCAACCUCGGAACGGCAUUCGAUACGGGACGGCUGGAGACCGGGAGAGGAGAGUGGAAUAGCCAGUGUAGAGGUGAAAUUCGUAGAUAUUGGCUGGAACACCGGUGGCGAAAGCGGCUCUCUGGCCCGGUUCUGACGCUGAGGUGCGAAAGCGUGGGGAGCAAACAGG
rnacentral:rRNA from 1 species